GACAGAGGGUGCAAUCGUUGUUCGGAAUUACUGGGCGUAAAGCGUGUGUAGGCGGCCACGUAAGUCGGGUGUGAAAGCCCCGGGCUCAACCCGGGAAGUGCACUCGAUACUGCGUGGCUUGAGUACUGGAGAGGUUGGUGGAAUUCUCGGUGUAGAGGUGAAAUUCGUAGAUAUCGAGAGGAACACCGGUGGCGAAGGCGGCCAACUGGACAGAUACUGACGCUGAGACACGAAAGCGUGGGGAGCAAACAGG
rnacentral:rRNA from 1 species